rnacentral:rRNA from 1 species
AUGGCGCGUUCGGUACCAUAUAACUGGAAUUACCGAUGCAAGUCGAAGAAGGAUUGGCCGGUGUUGUCGGCUGGCGUCAAGUUCGAUCCCACAGAUCAGGAGCUGAUCGAGCACCUUGAGGCCAAAGUGAGUGCUGACAGCGCGAGAUUUCAGUCUCUCAUCGAUUUGUUCAUACCAACCAUCGACAGCGAGCACGGCAUAUGCUACACCCAACCUGAGAAACUUCCAGGUAUCACACUGAGUGGCCUAAGGAAGCAUUUCUUCCAGCGCAAUUCCAGGACGUUCAAAAGGGGCACGUGGAUGCAUCGCAAGAUACAGUCAGAGUGUGGCAUGCACGCGAUGUGGCAUAAGACCGGCAAUACCUUGCCGGUGAUGGUCAACGGCCAGCAGACGGGCAGCAAAAAAGGUUCUGGUGCUCCACACUAA